rnacentral:rRNA from 1 species
UACGUAGGGGGCAAGCGUUGUUCGGAUUUACUGGGCGUAAAGGGCGCGUAGGCGGCUUAACAAGUCACUUGUGAAAUCUCCGGGCUUAACUCGGAACGGCCAAGUGAAACUGUCAAGCUAGAGUGCAGAAGGGGCAAUCGGAAUUCUUGGUGUAGCGGUGAAAUGCGUGAGAUAUCAAGAGGAACACCUGAGGUGAAGACGGGUUGCUGGGCUGACACUGACGCUGGAGGCGCGAAAGCCAGGGGAGCAAACGGG